AUGGCCGGCACCACCGCCGGCGCGCUCGUCACCACCACCGCCGGUGCGCUCGUCUCCAGCCUCACCAUCACCAUGCCGUCGCCCGCCGGACUCAUCACCGUCCGGAUCACCCGCGCCAAUUUUCUAUUGUGGAAAGCGCAGGUCAUACCUAACCUCACCGGCGCCGGCCUCUUCGGCUACCUCGACGGGUCCAUCCCUGCGCCACCGAAGAUGAUCGUCCAGGGCACCGGCGACACGCUGCACACUCAGUGCCCAACCCCGAGUACGUAUGAGCCAUGGCGGCGCACCGACCAGGCCGUGCUCGGCGCGCUCCUGUCUUCCAUGACGGAGGAAGUGCUCGCUCAGAUAACGCGAGUGACCUCCUCGGCGGCCGUCUGGUCCGCCCUCGGCGCCAUGUUCGCUGCUCAAAACCGGGCCAGCGUGCGUCAACUUCGCACACAACUGUCGCAGACAAAGAAGAACGACAUGUCCGCGGCAGAGUUCUUCCACAAGAUGACUGGCUAUGCGGACGCGCUGGCCACUGUCGGCGAGGUACUGUCCGAUGACGAGAUCAUUGGGCACAUCAUCGGGGGGCUGGGACAGGAGUACGACCCGCUCAUGACAGCGCUCUCUGUCUUCACCGGCCAAGUGAGCCUCUCCGAUUUUUAUUCUUAUCUUCUCAGUUUUGAAGCCCGUCAAGAACAGCACGCUGCCAACAGCGGCCACUUUUCAUCCACCAACAACGCCAUGCGCCAUGGCAAUGGCAACGGGUCACGUGAUGCUAGCCGCAACAGCAACAACAACCAUGGAAGUAGGAACGGCAGCCACCAUGGUGGCAAUGGCGACCGCUAUGGCAACGGUGGCAACCGUGGCAACAACGGUGGACACCACAACAGCGGUGGUGGCGGCCGAAACCGUCGCCCACCCCGGUGCCAGAUAUGCCGCCUGGAGGGGCACUACGCCACCGACUGCCGCGAUCGCUACAAUCACGCCUACCAGUCGGACGACCAUCGCAGCGGCAACAUGGUGACAUAUGGUCACCGCGACAACAAUUGGUACCUUGAUACUGGUGCCACCGACCACCUCACCAGCGACCUCGACCGUUUGACGAUGCACGAGCGCUAUGGUGGGAAGGAUCAAGUUCAAGUUGCAAAUGGUGCAGGACAAAAUCACGAGGAGGGUCCUUCUUCACGGUAG
rnacentral:rRNA from 1 species